AUGGCACAGACUAUAAAAAUUAAAAUCGAGGAACAAUUUUGUAGUUUAUUAGUGCAAUCACGAUGAAAGCGUUUUUGGUGGUGAUGUUUACAUUAUUUGCUUUACAUGAUGUUCACUGCCGUGCUACAGUUAGCCUGACGACUGAUAGAGAAAAAGCAACGACUAAUAGGUGUUUUGACCCAAAGUUUGGUGACGUGGCUGAAGGUUCUGUAGAAACGCCCGGAUUAUGUAUGCAUUUGCGGUGUAGAGAAGACGGGUUCCUUUUCCUUUAUGGUUGUAAUACUGCCUACAGGGAAGUGAAGAAUUGUAAACCAAAGCCGAUAACUCUCAAAGACAGCUUCCCAUGGUGUUGUCCUGUAUACUGUCUAAACGAAUGAUUUUGCAGUUGAUAUUUGGUGUUGUGAAGAUGAAAAAUUCGGGUCAAGUUAUUUUCCACAAGAAUUAAUAAAACCGCUGAUUAUGUAAACGAGUUUCAUUUUACGCUCAAAUCAAAAAUCGUUAAACUUGUGUACUUCAAAUGAGGCAAAAAUUUUCCAUUGGAUCGUUAAAAUAAAAGCGUUAGUGUAUUUUUACAGGCAAAUUCUACGCCCAAAUUAACACGAUAACGCCCAGAAGUGAUAAAAGCCGAAACCAGUUUUCACGUCCGCAAAUAUGAAGACCAAGAUGCUUCGAACUGUAGUACUGACUUUGGUCAUUUUCCAACUUGGGUGUAACGCUGACACUGCAUCAUUUCAACACCCAAAACAUAACCCUGGUGGUUGUUACCAUAAGUCAAUUGGCGCUAUAACGGCCGGAAGCAAAAUUCCAGUUCCAGGAAAAUGUGAACAAGCUCAUUGUCCUGAGGACAAAUCUGGAGCGCUCCAAAUUAUAAGCUGUUCUCCUGCUGAUAAGACCUUAAGGUGCGCUGAUAAGGAAAAGGUUUUCCCGGCUUGUUGUCCCAGAAAAUGCACGUCUAAGGACAGACUGGUUGGACUGCCAUCCAUAUUCUAGCACUCGGGAUUUUAUUUUCCUGUAGUUCUGAUGAGAAAAUAAAAUUUGGCAAAUUAAUUGUGAUGAGCUUAUAAAACCCCAAACCCACACAACACAAUAUGAAAAAAAUCCCAUGAUUAAUUUAAAGUUUUUAACUAUAAAAAUUAUAAAAAUAAUGUCUAGUUUAAUUGCCACUUUAUUUUUUGUCACGAAUCUUUGUAAUGGUCUUUUGUGUAGCAAAAUUUCUAUUUAAAGUUUUUUCAAGACACGAUGCGUCUAGUGGUGGUUGUUCUCUUCACUUUUUUAAUUAGUUACACCACGGAAAUUGACGUUGAGGAAAUUCCGGCACAUCCAAGGCGACAUCCUGGUCAUUGCUACAACGAACUGUUUGGUCAUUUGAAAGCUGGAGUCACAAUAAGGGUUCCAGGGCAUUGCAAGGAAGCACGCUGUUUUCCAGAUGGAAGUGGAAGAGCAUAUCUGAUAAGUUGUACUAGUGAACCCAAUGAUUUGGGACGGCAUUGUGCUAACAUUUAUAGACCUUUUCCAGAUUGUUGUCCAGUCAAAUGUAACAAAACUUUAAACUGGUGGAGGUAGACUAGCAAUAAAUGAGUAUGGAAAAACCAGUGCAAAUUACUUUUAGAACAAAAGCAACCAAUAUAUACAUAGUGUUCCGUAUAAGUGCAAAAACCAGGAAAAAACUGUUUCGUGUCACGUUUCAAUUCCGGGAAUAAAAAAUACUAGCAAUAAUUUUUUAGAAAUUUUAUAGGCAUUUAAGCUUAUCACACUUAUAAACACCUAAGUAUAUAAGAGGCAUUUGCCCCCAAAACCAUUCCACUUUGUUUUUCACGUCUGAAGUAACACCAAAAUGAAUUUACGGGUACUUUUGGUAGUGCUAGUGAUUAUUUGCGCCUUGCAACUCGUUGAUGUUUCUGCAGCGAGAAAGGCUGCCACUCAAUGCAAACACAAGAAGUAUGGUGUGUUUAAAAUUGGCGAACGUAAGCCAUACCCUAACAAGACAUGUGCAGAGAUAAUUUGCAAGUCUACCGGAAAAUUAUCUAGUCUACAGUGCAGUCGCCACCUGAAGGGUAAAAAUGGCUGUAAAAUAGUUGCGGGAGAUAGGAAAAAACCUUUUCCGAAUUGUUGCCCCCAGAUUUCCUGCCCAGUCAAAGAUACAAAUAAGGGUUAACGUAGCGGAGAUUUAAAUAAAUCGGAGAUCCAGCUUUUUUCGGAAAUAAAUACAUUGUUAGUACUUACAAUUCUAUUCGGUAAUAAAAACAGCAUAAUACGGAUUUUGUUGGAUUUGUGAUGUUUUUUAUCAAAAUUAAUCAUUGUUGAAUGAAACUGCGUAAUAAUUCUUAGUAAUGUCACAACCGACAAAUACAAAAUUGCUCUAAAAAUCAUAAACAAGCAAAACUAAUAAAACAAAAAAGCAUAUAUAAAAUCGUGAUCGCUCCUGAUUUGUAGCAAGGAAAUAAAAUAUUUUAUUUCUCUGCAAUUUUUAAGCAGAAUAAAAUAAUAACACGUAUUUCAAGUCACGUCGCAAUUUUUUCUCGUUUAUUACUAAUUGUUCGGGUGUUUAUCACUGCAACUAAUAAUUACUAAUAAAUGAAACAAUGAUAAAAUACCCACUAUUCUUUCCUCCCAAACCAAGCAUGACCAUGAAGUGCUUUUUAAUAAUAUUAAAUUUGUGUAUUUUACAAAUUCAUUGCGGCGUAGGGCCAGGAUUGAGAUCUACUCCGCCCUUAAAAGAUCAAAGUGUGCUUUGCGCCUAAUGAGGGCUCCAAACUGUUCCAAAGACCUCCCGGUUGAUCUAACAAAACCGUACCCCCAUUGUUGUCCCGUCAAAUGUAUA